rnacentral:rRNA from 1 species
UGAGGAAUAUUGCGCAAUGGGCGAAAGCCUGACGCAGCGACACCGCGUGAAGGAUGAAGGUCUUAGGAUUGUAAACUUCUGUUAAGUGAGAAGAAAGAACCACCUCUAAUAUGGGUGGGAGAUGACGUUAUCACUAAAGAAAGCACCGGCUAAUCUCGUGCCAGCAGCCGCGGUAAUACGAGAGGUGCAAGCGUUAUUCGGAAUUACUGGGCGUAAAGGGUGCGUAGACGGUCUAUUAAGUCUUUUGUUUAAUACCUCGGCCUAACUGAGGGUCAGCGAGAGAUACUGAUAGACUUGAGGAUGGAAGAGAGAAGUGGAAUUCUCGGAGUAGCGGUAAAAUGCGUAGAUCUCGAGAGGAACACCGAUGGCGAAAGCAGCUUCUUGGUCCAUAUCUGACGUUGAGGCACGAAAGCGUGGGGAGCAAACAGG